ACCCAAACAAAAUUACAUACAAAUAGAUACACUAUAAUCAAAGUGUUGGGCCCGUGCUCAACACGGGCAUUGGAGGUGGUAUCGUCGUCCACCUCCAACUCAUGUUAAAAAAAAUGAGUGGACAUCAUAUUAAAAAAAAAAAGCAAUAAAAAAUAAAAAGUAGACCUCAUAUUAAAAAAUCAAGCAAUAUCAAAAAAUAAUUACACACAUAAAUACACUAUAAUCUAAAAUAUUGGGCCUGUACCGCCAUCUAGUAUAUAUAUAUAAGCAGGCCAAAGGGCCACUGACGUUACAUCACCGAAAUUCAGAAUUUGUAUUUAUCUUUUUUUACAAAUUUUUGAGGGGAAAAGAAAAAAAUAAAAAGACACCUUAAAAACUAAACACCAAACACACACCUCUUCGCUCUUUACACCCCUCCAACAACUGCGCCCGAUUCUCUUUAAAAUUGAAAACUCAGUGGUCGCUUUACAUUUUUACCACCAACAGUCCCUUCAUUCCCUCCAUCUCUUCCCUUUUUUCUGCUUCUGUUGGAUUCUUAUUUCCCUCAAGGCCGCUUGCAAUUUUGCUUAUCCUCGACCAAUUUAUGCAAGGAGUUACAGGUAAAAUAUCCUUCCCUGUUUAUGUAGUUUAAUUUCACAUGUGUCUUUUGUGUGUGUUAUUUUAAUUUUCUCUUACUUAGGAGAUCCAAAAGUGUUUCCUUGAGCAACUUGAAAUUAUUAGUAAAUGCCUGAGAAAUAACAUGCUAAAAUAGUUAGUCUAUGAUGUUAAUUGAUAAACCUGAAUUUCAUAUUUGGUUAGCACCUUUAUUAUUUAUGUUAAUUGACAAAGUUGUUGCAUUAGGGAGAAGAUAAUAUUAGCCACUUUCAUUUGUUCUCAAGUGAUGCAUAUUUCAUAUUUGGUUAGCACCUUUAUUAUUUAUGUUAAUUGACAAAGUUGUUGCAUUACGGAGAAGAUAAUAUUAGCCACUUUCAUUUGUUCUCAAGUGAUGCAUAUGGUGCUUUAGUACUAUAUCAGGGCCUAAGAAUGCAAUUCACGUGUACCAAUAUAACUUGGCUAUUGCCAGGAGCGGGGUUUACCCUGUGCGCACCACCCAAAGGGUAGCGGCUGCAGGUUCCUUUGUCAUUAAAAAAAUAAAUAUAAACUUUUGAGAUCAAAUUGGCUUGCGCACACAAUUUAUGAAUCGGAUCUUCACUGUGUUGAGAAUGUUACUCAACAACCAAAUCAUGCUACCUUUUCACCCCUCUUUUGUGUGGUUCAAUAAUUAAUCGUACUUCAAAGUCUGAUUAACAUUUUUUUUUAAAUUUGUGAGACAAUAUAAUGAUGGGAUAGGUGUUUAAAUUGUGUUAAUUAUUUGAUAAUUUCUGUUCGAAUGGAAGCUUAUAAUUAGGCAUGUUUGUUUUAGUGUUUAGUUGAUAGAUGAUAGAUCGUUUUCCUAUACCAUCCACAAAGGGAAUAAGAACCAUGAAUGAGAAUUCUUAAUUGUGAUGCUUUGAAAUAUUGUCAUGCACUCCAUGAUGCAUUUGCAUUUGGCAGCCACAUUAUGUGUUGCGUCAAUAUGAUUAAUUAUGGGGUCAAGUCAAAACUUACAAUACACAACAUAAAAGAGGGGUAGUAAAGGAGACAUUUGGAAGAGACAAAAUCAAGUGUUUCUUCGUCAUUGAUACACCCCAAGAUAGCCAUCAAGCUUGCGGAUCCAACCUUGUAUCAAAAUAUUGCUUGAAGUACUUUGAAAAUGCAUGGAAGGAGGAUUUGAGGCUUGAAAGGAUGCUAAAAUGGAAGUACAAGACUCCACUUGGGAGAAUACAUGAAGCAUGGAAAAAGAGGCCAUUUAUGCAAAGGGGCUAUUUUUGAAAAACAAGCUCAUAUACCAAAGAAGACAAAGAAGACCCGACCCUUAUUUCAUUUGGUUUAUUCUAAUAGUUAAAUGCAUAUUUGAUUGUUAGUUUUAACCUUUCUCUCAUAUUUCUCCCUUAAUUUCUAUCUAUCCUAUUUGUAUUCUUUAAUUCCGUGUUUUUCUAAUUUGAAUCAUAUCAUUUGGUAUCAGAGCCUAGUUUAGGAAUGGGAUUGAAAGUUUGGAACUAGUUUAUUGAGCUGAGAAAAGAUAUGGGCGUUUGAAGAGCUAAGCUUCUGGUUUUCCUUGUUGAUCUGAAAAACCUAUAAACUGGACUCCAUUGAAGCUUCAAUAUAUAUAUAUUUCUUUGAAGUUGUUGGUCUUAUUGUUUAUUCGAAGUUGUUGUCGAGAAGCUUCACCGAACGUCUUUGUGUUGAAUUGUCAAUGAUUUGGAGACCAUUAGGUGGAAGGACAUACUGGUUUCGUGGUCUCCAUUUAAGGUACUAGGCUGAAAUCGCCAUUGAUAACCAUUAUAGGAGCUCGGAGCUUCCAUUUCAAAUUUCGGGUUGCCGCAAACGUGAAUCGAAUCGAGUGGGUAAUAUAUCAAAAUAACCGCAACACCGAGAAUAGUUCAUAUCCAAAUUUUGGGGUUGUUUGGGGGAGAUUUGAAGUGCAUAUGGAUCCAUUUUUAGUCCAGUUCACUUGAAGAAGAUGAACCGCUCUAAUUUCCAUUUUGCAGAAAUAGCCCUAAUUAGUCUAUAUGAGUCCAGGAGCCAAUUUCUGUCCAAUUUAAUAUAUAACCUUUUCUAGUUUGUUAUCUUCAUUUCCUUUUCAUCUUAUUUUGAUUAUUUCAAGAAGUCGACAUUGGUAUUAGUCCAUAUUAAUGUUGUCUAGUUCAUUUUGUGUGCCUUUAUCAUUUCGUGCUUGCUUUUCUCGUUUUUGCUUCAUUGUUAAUUGUUUGAUUCAAGUCCGUUUGCUUUCAUUUGUCCGUUCUUCGUGUCACAUAAACUCCACUCAGAACCGAUACUUGGAGCUCAUUCAAAGGACAGUUAAAGUUGUGGUUCUUGAGAUUGAGGAUAUAGGCUACUUGUGCGAAAAGGCUUGAGUGGUGAGAUCAAUUAAGUGCGGUCACAAAAGCCAUCGGCCUUUGAGUGAUACACGAGCGAAAAUUGAGUGAAAUUGAUUGAGUACCACAUAUAAAUGUGAGGGUGUGAUUGUGAGGUCCUUGUUUUAUACUAACCACUCUUCUUUGUUUUAAAAUGUCUUUAAUAGGUACAAGGAGUUAUAUGGGAGAGAUGGAUGGCUAUGAAGCUUUGAAGUAUAUUCCUUCUCGUAACUCUCAUACUAGUAGAAUAUCAUAUGAAUAUUGUUAUGAUGAGUUGAAUGAGAAUCCUCAAGAUGUAAGGGUAAUUGAUGUGAAAGAAGAGAUUUGUAGAUUUGAGGUGGCCAUCAACUACCAAAGGGGAUACACUAUUGAGGUGGGAAGAAACAUAUCGGAAAAUCUUAUUAGUCCCGCCGUUGUAAAAAGGUUGGGGUUACUAUGUUAUCAAUUGUGUACUUCAAAGUUCAUCAAUCAGACACGGAUCAAUGAAGUAAUGGAUAAUGUAUAUAUUAGUAAAGGAGAAUAUUUUUAUAAUUCGCCAUAUGUGUUUCCUUUGGUCACUUGUGACCUAUGCUUGGGAUCUCCUUGGUAUAAACGUGGUUAUGAUCUUGUUUAUGAAGAUGUGCGUAGAAGAUUCAUGGUUCAUACUCAUUGGAGUUUUAAUGAACGUCUCUUUAAGAAAUUGCCUAUCGAAAAACCACAAAGGAGUAAGCUUGUGGAAGCCUACCAAGAAGAGAGGAGAAAUGUGUCUUCUUAAUCUACUCCAAGUAGAAGUUUCUAUAAGUCCUCACAUGAUGACACAUCAAGAAGUCCUACAAGUUCAAGAAGCCAUGAAAUUAAUGAAAUAAGUGUUGGCUUGAGAACUACUCAAGAGGUGAGCUAUAAGUCUUGUUACCAAUCCAAAAUAAAGAAGUCAAAAGAUAGAUCUCUAAGUCCAAGGCUUGGAAUUGAUUUGAAGGGCCAUCCUAACCCUUCAAAGGGUAUUCUUGGAGUACACCCUAACUUCCCCAAAGAUGAGAGACAAAAGAUUGAGAGAAGUAAGGGAGAGAAAAGUGGCUACUUAAGAGAGGAAAAAGGAGAGAAUGUGUGGAGUGAUGUGAGAAAGUUGCCACACACUUUUUCUAACUCUAACAAUUUCAAUCUUUCUUCUCCUAUUUGUGAUGUCUCUUGUGUAGGUACUUUUGGAAGCAAAUUAUUAUUGGAGGAUCCAAAGGGGAAUGCCCUUAAAGAAUCCGAAAUUUUCCCAUGCUUGAAAGACAAAAUGGAGGCCAAGACCAUUUCUUCAAUUGGUCAAGUGAACUUGAAAUUGGGAAGUCAAGGUAAAGAAGAUCCUUUUCUUGAGAAUCAAGGUAAAAUAGCUAUUCCUAAUACUUCAAGUGUUUAUAAUGUUAUUAAUGUUAUUAAUGAAAGCGCUUAUACACUAGUCAAUCCUUUUGAUGACCGAAUUGGUUCUUUUUUGCAAGAUUAAUUUGUGUCCAUCUAGUGUUGACACUUGUGAUAUGAAUGAUAGUGCAAUAUCAUGUGAUAAGAGUGCUCAUACACUAGUUGAUCCUUUUGAUGACCGAAUUGAAUCUUCUAGCAAGAUCAAUUUGUGUCCACCUAGUGUUGACACUUGUGAUGAGAAUGGUAAUAUUGUUGACACCUUGAAUGUGAGUGGGUGGCUUGUAUUUGUGUAAUCUUGAUAAUUCGUCUUCUUGCAAUAUGAACCAAAGUGAUUGUUAUAGGCAUCCACUAGUUGAUGUCAAUUGUGUAGCUAAUGAAGUUAUUUCUUGUGAGCUUGUGAAGUUACAAACUAGUGAUGUGCAAUUUAAGAACGUUAGUGGGCUUGAGAGUGCUUCGUUGAGUAAUUGUUUAAUUCAUGAUCCUAUUGCUACAUUUUCUCAUAGAAACACUAUUCUUGUUACUAACUUGAUGGAGGAUGAUUGUCUUUUUGCAAGUGAAUUUAGUUGUCUUGAUUCCUUAUCUUGUAAAGGCAUGAACUCUAGUUGUGCAAGUAACUUUGAGUUGAGUUUGAAGAAUGCAAGUGCAAUGUCAUGUGUUGGCAAGAGUAGAAAGAGUACUUUGCUUGAAAAGAAAGAUAGCAUGAUAAAAAUUCAUUCUUUGUUCUAUUUCAUGAAUUCCAUUAAGAACAUAGGUUUGGAUGAAGAUUGUGGUAACUAUCCCUUUAUUGAUAUGGACCUUUCUCUCUUGAAAAAGGAUGAUCCUUUGGUUGAGGAAGAAUUUGAUUUGCUUGAUUAUUUGAGAAAUCCAACUAAAGAUUAUUCUUACAAUGUUGGCAUUGAUAGUGACUCUUUGUAUGACUCUCCACCUUUGUUUGGUGAAGAUAAAAAUGAAUUGCUUGAUUCUUGUGGUCUCUUGAAUUAUGACAUUCUUGAUUCAAGUGGUGGUUCAUGUCAUGAUGAAAAUGUUUGUCUUUUGAAAGAAGAUAACACUUGCUUAGAACAUGAUACUCCUUUGAAUUGUUCUAAUCUUAAUCUUUUGCUUAAUUUUGAUGAAUCCAAAAGUGAGCUUGAAAAUGAGGGCAUCAUUGAUGAGUUUAUAUUAAGUGAAACCUUUCUUUUUGACUUAUUUGCCCUUGGUGAAAAUAGUAUUUUAAAAUAUGAAAAGUGCAUAAUUUUGGGAAUAUGUUGUGUGAAGAGUUGCUGGAAGAUUCUACAUGUUUGGAUGUUAGCAAGCUAACUCAUGAUUUGUUUGAUGAAAGCAAAUCAUUUGAGAGGCAAUCCUUCAAGGGUGAAGAAGGAUUCUUAAAGAAGGAGGGACACUUGAUGGUCAAGGGUAGUGAAUUAAGAGAUAUUAGCUCUAAUAUCAGUUUCUUUACUUACUCUAUUCCCGAUUCUGAAUAUACUUUUGGGAUGGACUAUGCUAGAGCUUCUACUUUAAAGAGUAAGAAGAAUCCAUAUGAAGUUUGGCAUGGCAUACAUGAGCUUAAAAAUAGAACCUUUUCUUGUGAUUAUUCCAUGUCAUUGAUUCUUGACUCAUGCUUAGAUAUGGUUCAAAUAUUUUUUGAGUCUUGCGUGGGGGAUACUUUUGUAUUUGAUCCCGGAGUAGUUUGUGUACAUUCUUCUUGGACAUGGAUUGGCGUGUUGUGUAGAGUGUGGAAUAUUGAGUAUAAUGCAUUCAUGUAUAAGAAAGUAGAUUCUUCAUUUGAAUUAGAGGGAGAAUUAUUCUUUAUGAUCACUAGAGCCAACAUGAACUUCACAAUUUGUUCUCUUAAGAUUGUUGGUUUUAUUUAUUCACCCUUUGUUCAUAAUUAUGUGGAUAGCCAAGUAUUUGCAUCGUUUGUGUCAUACAUGCCCUUUGUUGAAUUUCUAGAUGCUUGGUGAUAUCAUAAGAGUACAUUUUGGGAAAAAUUUGUUGAUGCUUCUCUUGUUUGUGUUAUUAUUGCUAACCCGUCUUGGAGAUUACACUUGCUAGUCCUUGGAUCUUGUUUGGGUUUUGUUAAAUUUAUCAUGUUAGACAAAAAUUCGAGAACGAAUUUCUUCAAAGAAGGAGGGAAUGAUACACCCCAAGAUAGCCAUCAAGCUUGCGGAUCCGACCUUGUAUCAAAAUAUUGCUUGAAGUACUUAGAAAAUGCAUGGAAGGAGGAUUUGAGGCUUGAAGGGAUGCUAAAAUGGAAGUAGAAGACUCCACUUGGAAGAAUACAUGGAACAUGGAAAAAGAGGUCAUUUGUGCAAAGGGGCUAUUUUUUAAAAACAAGCUCAUAUGCCAAAGAAGACUAAGAAGACCCGACCCUUAUUUCAUUAAGGGCAAUUUUGUAAUAAUCAUUAUUAGUCUUUAUUCUUAACCUAGUAUAAAUACUACACUAUGUCAUUUUAUGAGGGUUAGAUUGUGUUGAUGUAUGAAAAAUUGAGCAAGUGCUCUUUGUGAGGAUUUUAAGAAUUCCUCUUUCUUUUUUGAACCCUUUGACUACUUUGGAUGAGUGAAUCCAAAAAUAUUAGUGCAAUGAAUUUAUUUUGCAAUUAUUCUUAUAGGAAGUGAAAAGGAAAGAAGAGGUUUUAGGCUUUUAGCAAGAGCUGAUAUUGUUAUAGAGGAAAGGAAUUAGCCAUCAAUUUUCUUCAUCAUUCAUUAUGACAAUUGCAAAUGAAAUCCAUCUACAAAAGUUGCAUUUAAGGAAGAAAUAACGAAGAUGAAAAGUACCAUAACUUUCAAAGACCCAUAUAUAUUCCAACCUAUCUCUCACCACUUUGGCACCCGAUAUAUAUUGUUUUUUCUGUGUGGCAAGUUCAAGAAUUACACGGAGAAAAACCCCCAAAAAGAAUAGCUUUGAAACAGAAACAAAAGCAAGGCAUGAGAAGGAGAAAAUUGAAAUGGCUGCUUCAGAAGAGGAGGAGAAUGUUGGAUUCCAACUUCAAGAUUGAUCAUUUGCAAGGCAGUGUCUUACCCAAUUUACAUAGAACUUGAAUGUGAUUUCUCACAUAACAUGUUACUUUCUUCUGUAAUUAAGCUACAUUGAACCAAUUUAAUGAAUGCACUAGCUUAUUUGCAAAGUGAACGCCUUUCUGAAAAAGAUUAAUUUGUAAGAUCAUCUAUUUUUUUACUAUCUCUGCUUAUUAUUGCAUAAC